rnacentral:rRNA from 1 species
UACGUAGGGGGCAAGCGUUGUCCGGAAUCAUUGGGCGUAAAGCGCGUGUAGGCGGCUUCGUAAGUCCGUUGUGAAAGUCCAGGGCUCAACCCUGGAAUGCCGAUGGAUACUGCGGAGCUAGAGUCCGGAAGAGGCGAGUGGAAUUCCUGGUGUAGCGGUGAAAUGCGCAGAUAUCAGGAGGAACACCGGUGGCGAAGGCGGCCUGCUGGGCAGUUUAGCUGACACUGAGGCGCGACAGCGUGGGGAGCAAACAGG